rnacentral:rRNA from 1 species
ACGAGAAAGGGAGCAAUCCUGAGUAAAGUGGCGUACGGGUGAGUAACACGUGGAUCAUCUACCUUUUAGUGGGGAAUACCUCCGGGAAACUGGAGACAAUACCGCAUAAUCUCGCGAGAGGAAAGCAGCAAUGCGCUGAAAGAGGAGUCCGCGGCCGAUUAGCUAGUUGGUGAGGUAACGGCCCACCAAGGCGAAGAUCGGUAGCCGGCCUGAGAGGGCACACGGCCACACUGGCACUGAAAUACGGGCCAGACUCCUACGGGAGGCAGCAGUGGGGGAUCUUGCACAAUGGAGGAAACUCUGAUGCAGCGACGCCGCGUGAGCGAUGAAGCCCUUCGGGGUGUAAAGCUCUUUCGACAGGAACGAUAAUGACGGUACCUGGAGAAGAAGCUGCGGCUAACUACGUGCCAGCAGCCGCGGUAAUACGUAGGCAGCAAGCGUUGUUCGGAAUUACUGGGCGUAAAGAGUGUGUAGGCGGUGCUCUAAGUCUGGUGUGAAAUCUCCCGGCUCAACUGGGAGGGUGCGCCGGAAACUGGAGUGCUCGAGGAUGGGAGAGGUAAGCGGAAUUCCUGGUGUAGCGGUGAAAUGCGUAGAUAUCAGGAGGAACACCUGCGGUGUAGACAGCUUACUGGACCAUUUCUGACGCUGAGACACGAAAGCGUGGGUAGCAAACAGGAUUAGAUACCCUGGUAGUCCACGCCCUAAACGAUGCAUACUUGGUGUGAGCCAUUCAUUUGGUUCGUGCCGGAACUAACGCCGUAAGUAUGC